UACGGAGGGUGCAAGCGUUAAUCGGAAUUACUGGGCGUAAAGCGUGCGCAGGCGGUUUGUUAAGUCUGCUGUGAAAUCCCCGAGCUCAACUUGGGAAUUGCAGUGGAUACUGGCAGGCUGGAGUAUGGUAGAGGAAGGUGGAAUUCCCGGUGUAGCAGUGAAAUGCGUAGAGAUCGGGAGGAACACCAGUGGCGAAGGCGGCCUUCUGGACAGUGACUGACGCUGAGACGCGAAAGCGUGGGGAGCAAACAGG
rnacentral:rRNA from 1 species